UACGGAGGGUGCAAGCGUUAUCCGGAUUCACUGGGCUUAAAGGGUGCGUAGGUGGGUCUGUAAGUCCGGGGUGAAAUCUCUAGGCUUAACCUGGAAACUGCCAUGGAUACUAUAGAUCUUGAAUACUGUGGAGGUCAGCGGAAUAUGUCAUGUAGCGGUGAAAUGCUUAGAUAUGACAUAGAACACCAAUUGCGAAGGCAGCUGGCUACACAAAUAUUGACACUGAGGCACGAAAGCGUGGGGAUCAAACAGG
rnacentral:rRNA from 1 species